CGGCAAGAGCUCAGAUUUGAAAUCGUGCUUUGCGGCACGAGUUGUAGAUUGCAGGUUGGAGUCUGUGUGGAAGGCGGUGUCCAAGUCCCUUGGAACAGGGCGCCCAGGAGGGUGAGAGCCCCGUGGGAUGCCGGCGGAAGCAGUGAGGCCCUUCUGACGAGUCGAGUUGUUUGGGAAUGCAGCUCCAAGCGGGUGGUAAAUUCCAUCUAAGGCUAAAUACUGGCGAGAGACCGAUAGCGAACAAGUACUGUGAAGGAAAGAUGAAAAGCACUUUGAAAAGAGAGUGAAACAGCACGUGAAAUUGUUGAAAGGGAAGGGUAUUGCGCCCGACAUGGGGAUUGCGCACCGCUGCCUCUCGUGGGCGGCGCUCUGGGCUUUCCCUGGGCCAGCAUCGGUUCUUGCUGCAGGAGAAGGGGUUCUGGAACGUGGCUCUUCGGAGUGUUAUAGCCAGGGCCAGAUGCUGCGUGCGGGGACCGAGGACUGCGGCCGUGUAGGUCACGG
rnacentral:rRNA from 1 species